AUCUAUCCUACUUUCUAAAUACCCACCCAUCGACACUUCUAGAAUACCCUACACACUAUUAGGCUCACACACUCAUCGUUUCCGUCAGCCGCCGUCCAUUGCCUCUCCGGCGGCGAGAUUAGCCAUCAUCAGCUCACCUUCCUCUCUUUGCUCAUGGCUUCUUCUUCUCCACUUCUCUAACCUCCAUUAAAGCAUGAUCCAAGCUUGAAGCUUCUCCUCCAAAAAUUUGAUUUUAUUGUGAGACAAGUGCUAGGAGUGGCGCAUCCGAGGCUCGGAGACGGGCAACCUGACCCAGCGUGAAGAGGUUAUUUUGGAUUGCAGCUUUCGAGGUUAAGGAGUCGGUGAUGGGGCAGCAGUCAACGUGAUCCACAGACUUCCCUAUUUUGACUAGUAGACAUCCUUUUGGGCUUUCUUUUUUUUUUAAAAGAAAGAACGUUGAUGCCUUUAUAUUUGGAAUUAUGUAACUGCUUAUGGCUAUUUUGUGUGGGCAGUGACCCUAUAUUCAUAGUUUUGUCAGUGAUCAGCGUAGUUUCAGGUUG